UAUCUUUUAGUGUAAUAAGCACAUAAUUUUUUGAAUUUUAAAGUAAUAGCAAUUAAAGAUAA
rnacentral:tRNA from 1 species